AAGAUCCCCCCUGGCUGAGGGGGAGAAUGUGAAGACACAGGGGAGCAGCGAGACCCCAGAGUAGACGGCCUCAGUUAAGGGAGAGGGAUGGUGUUCAGGACCCACCAGGAUAAGCCGUGAUCAUGGCCCCCUGACAAGACUUUAUUGCCGUUGCAAAGACCAUUUCCUCAUGAGGAAUCAGCGCCAGAAGGACAGAAGUUGGCCAUGGAGACGACGCUAAACAUUGCCAGCUCAGGGACAGCAGUAGAAGAAUCUGUAAAACAAACUGCAUCAAGUAGCCUUUGUCAAUCCCGCGUUCCUCUUCAUCAACGUUCCCGCGGUCUGCUGCCCCAGAAACCCCAAGUCUUUCCUGAGUCUCGAAUGGUUCUCUGGCCAAGAGACAUAAGCCCACGUCCUCACUGACCCUUUGUCGGUGAGGACCCGCAGCUGCUGGUGUUGAUCAAAUAUAAAGAUGGACGAGGGCUUUGUGAUAGCUACCUCUGGAACUGGCGCUUAGUUAACCGCAGCUGACCAUCCCUGGAGCAACUGACCACUGCGGGUCUUACAAUAGGUGCUGUUAUAAACACGUCCAUUUCGCAGAUGUGGAACUGAGGUUAAGGGACUUGCUCUACAUCACAGGAAGGAGGACAGCGGGCUUUGAGUCGAGGCAGGACUGCCCGAAUCCAUG